rnacentral:lncRNA from 1 species
GAUGCUCCGGAACCCACAAGCUGUCCUUCGGUUCUUCCGACACCCCAAUGGCUGCAUAUGUGGCUGCACCACUGCCAAGAUUGCCGCGCACAAUAUAAAAGACAAGCUACAACCCAACAAAUUUCUAUGACGGGUCUCGAACGAUUCAGAUGAUCGCCUUUGAGCUGUAGCCGAAAACGCAUCCUGACAGCAUCUUUUGCAAGCAGAACCCCUUAAGUUUUCACUCGUUGCUACAUCGCCAGCUGUGGCGUUAGGUUUUUCACAUCUUUAUCUCGAAGCAGGCCUCAGAUCCUUGAAAGUAGAUGUCUCUCUGGUAAUCAGCAGUUGUGAUCUAUCAUUCAGGUGAAAGACGUUUCCUUGAUUGAGCAUAUCUUAUCUAAAUUUCAGAUGCCAGGUAUUGAAAGUGGAAAUUGAUAGCCGAUUGCUUAAUAACCAUUGAUGUAUGCAGAGGCUGUUGACACAUGCUUUUGUUCUUUUCUUGCAGACUGACGUCCUACACCUUCAACA